rnacentral:rRNA from 1 species
AGGUGGAUUAGUGGCGCACGGGUGAGUAACGCAUAGAUAACAUACCCUUUAGUCUGGGAUAGCCACUGGAAACGGUGAUUAAUACUAGAUACUCCCUACGGGGGAAAGAAUUUCGCUAAAGGAUUGGUCUAUGUCCUAUCAGCUUGUUGGUGAGGUAAUGGCUCACCAAGGCUAUGACGGGUAUCCGGCCUGAGAGGGUGAACGGACACACUGGAACUGAGACACGGUCCAGACUCCUACGGGAGGCAGCAGUAGGGAAUAUUGCUCAAUGGGGGAAACCCUGAAGCAGCAACGCCGCGUGGAGGAUGAAGGUUUUAGGAUUGUAAACUCCUUUUGUUAGAGAAGAUU